UCCAUUAGUGAAUCUCUCCGACAUGGAAAGAUUAUCCAUAUUUUUUUGGUGAGGAAAAGAUUUUUCAUGAAUCCCCCAAUGAAAGUUAGCGGAUUUCAUGAACAAGAUACAUCUCUCUCUCUCCUCCCAACGUUUUUACCCCCUUUCUCUCUAUGCAGCAGCUCUCCUCCUGAAUUGGGAUCUCCUUUCUUGCGUUUCACUCCCAUCUCGCCAGUGCUCUUUUCUCAACCAUGGAUUUACUAAGGUCAUCUUGCAGUUCUCAAACCAAAGAACCCUGAUGUUCCUGCACAUCAAGUGCUUUUCACUCAUGCUUUUAUGUGGGUUCAAUUACACAAACUACAUUGGAUGUUCAAUGAUUACGAUAUUUAGCUUCUGUGUUUUCAAGCACUGGAACAUGGCUGAAUUAUAGAGUGUACUGUUGGGUCUCUCAGUUCCAUAUUCCCACCGACAGCAAGGAUGCUCAUUCCCUUAUCGAAAGAAAUUUUAUCCACCGUACUCGUAGAUCUUAGUAUUCCCGAAGAGCAUGUCUGGGUUCAGUUUGCUUUUCAGAACAGACCCAUGAUCAUGUGCCCUAACUGUUUGAGAAUUGGUCACAGAGGCAUAUUAAAGUGCUCAUUCAAGUCACGCCAAGAAAUUCUAAAUGCGGCUUUAAGUAUCAACGCCACUAAGCGCCUCCUUCCUACCACUGCUAUUCCUGCGAAGAUCUAGCCUUGUUAUAGAGGUUUGCUAUAUAUAUGAUGAGGUUUUCUUGGGAAUGAAGAUGGAAAGUGCAGUUCCGACUAAUGAACUUUCCGACGACGAUCAGCAAUGAAGUAAUGUCCUGUUCUAAUCAGUGAGGAGAAAGAUGGAAUUGAUCCAUACUUUCAUGCGUUUGGCAAGCAUCUAUGAACUUCAGUUGCCAACUGCGAGAAGUGGCAACCCCAUGGAACCUAUACUUUCCAGCAUCCCGAGGUACAUAACCCCACAUCUCCUCCUCCUGGACCACAUGCCUUGGGAGUCCAGUCCAAACCCACUAACUCUUCCUCAUCUUCUCCUUCUCUAAACACUGUUUCACUGGGGCAUCUUCCUGCUGAGAUGGAAAUGCAGAGCAUGGGUAAGGGUGAUGGAGCAGAAUCGAUAGUCAAUGGUUCGAUCACAUUCGUUGAGCAUUGUUAACAAGACAAAAAUAGACCUUUAAUCGCUACUAUGGGCACUUCAUCCACCCCAACCAGACCUUUAAUCUCACUCUGUUAUGAUUAUAUCUUAUUAUUUUAAUUCUUUAUAGGUAGUUUUAUGGCUUUCCUAUUACAUGUUAGAGAAGAUCACCAUCUUCAAUGAUUUAGAUGAUAUAUGGUAUUAAUAUAUCAAUAUCAUACUAUUUUAUAUUAUAUAUUAUAAAUUUAGUCCUAACUUUUUUUCUCUCCUGUGCAUUCCCUCUUUCUAGGAACUUUGAAACCUAAAUUUGAUUUCAGAAAGCUUUUGGGGAAGAUUAUACUAUUGUUUCUACUUCUACUUUGAUUUUCUCAUUUUUUUUUUCUUGGAAAGUUAGGGUUUUUCAAUUGUUUAGGGUUUACCUGAUUUGGUCUCCAGUUUGUAUUGAUUUUUUGAGUAAGUUGAUUUUAUUGUAUUUAUAAUGUUUGGUUACCGCAGACAUUAUUGUUAUACCCUUGUAAGAGAACCCGAAAGUGUCGCCAUAUGAAGUUUUGGUUGUCUUGAUCAUCGCAUGAUGCCUGAAGAAAUUAGAAGUGCAUACAAAAAACUUGCACUCAUGUUCCAUAUUGAUGUUAACAAGGAGUGAUAUAAUGGGUGAAGAAAGAAUUUAACCCAAUUCCAUGGCAAGAGAGUCACGACUACUGGAUUGGACUUCCAAGGCUCCCUACCCUAUUAUUGGGACCUUCGAGCAAUACAGUCUUGAGGCUCGUAGUCUUUCUUUGCAUCGGGUCAGAGCCUCUUCCUCACAAGAGUCACCCAACACUGUUGAGGUUGGAGAAGUGUACUUGUUAUGGACUUCAUAGCUGCAUCAAAUCUAAACAAACAAUAGAUGACUUUUUCAACAAUUCGAGAAAGACGACAUUGUCGAUGCUAAUGAAGAGAAAGUCAGGGUAGUCAAUGUUCACGAGGAACAGGAAGAUGAGGAUGUGGCUGGUAUUUCUACAAUAAUUCAUCAGGGUAGUUAAGACACCCAUUUGUAGCUAUGGUUUUUAAUUUGUAAUUCCUAUAAACUUGAAUGGGAAACUUUUGGUUUUUUAUUAAGAUGAAUAAGGAAACUUUUAUGCUUUUA